UUUGUCAGAGAUCAGCUGUGCUGCUCUGGUCUCAGCUCUGAAGUCCAACCCCUCCCAUCUGAGAGAGCUGGACCUGAGCUUCAACAAAGACCUGAAGGAUUCCGGAGUGAAGCAGCUGUGUGCUGGACUGGAGAGUCCAGACUUUAGACUGGAGACUCUGAGAUUAGUGAACUGCAGUUUGUCAGAGAUCAGCUGUGCUGCUCUGGUCUCAGCUCUGAGGUCCAACCCCUCCCAUCUGAGAGAGCUGGACCUGAGCUACAACAACCUGGAGGGUUCAGGACUGGUGCAGCUGUGUGGUCUGAAGGAGAGUCCAGACUGUAGACUGGAGACUCUGAGAUGGUAGUAACCAUGAUUAGUCAGAGGGAUCAGGAUAAGGAUGUGUUGCAGGAUCAGCUGAGUCCUGAUGAUCCAGAGAGGUUGAAGCAGCUGCAUCACCUCGAACUGGGCCGUGGUACUGGGAGGUAGAGCCGAGAGACUCUGGCCGCUUCACAAUCCCAACAAUGGAAAGAACAGACUAGUGGUUUUGGGGAGAAACUUCUUGUUAGUCGCUCUCACAGAACCCUGUGGACAGUUUGAGAUGAUGCCUUCUUGCUGGUAUUGUGUUAUAACCCAACACCGAGGCCGCCUGCAGAGCUCCAAAAUAACAGCAUGAUCUUUUUGACCCGGGAGGACAACACAAGGGUUUAAACUUCUCAUGUUUACUUUUAAUUAAGGUUAAGGGGGGAAGAAGCAAAGUGGCAGACUAUCUCCUGUG